rnacentral:rRNA from 1 species
AUGCAUAUAGACAGACCAAAUCAGAAGAGAAGAAAGACAGAGGAGAAGAGGAGUUUACAAGAGGAAAACAGGGGAAAGGGAACGACGAUGAAGGUCCGUCUUCCCCGGCGCCGGCGGGAGCUGAAGCUUGCAGUAAGUCUGCCGUUGCCAGGUCUGUUGCGCUGCAUCCUUGUAUUGGUCAUAGCCGUGCGCCCCUGCACCGCAGCAUCGUUUUCGGAUUGUUGGCCCUCCGACCACUCUGACUCCGAUGUGAAGGACGGCGACGUCUGCAUCUUCCAGCUCGACCUGCCCAUCAUUGACGCAGGCGUCAUAGACGGCGCCCUCCACCUCACCACCGACGACGUCUACCAGCCGCCCGUUGAUUACCCUCCUGACCCCAAGAGGCGGGCCGGAUGUGCCAUCCUCCCGGUGGAAGCCAUUCUGUGGCAGCCGGCCAGCGCCCCAUCCGACACCAACUUUAAGUGGCAAUGGCCGUGGAGGUACGACGAGCCGAAGCUUGAGGCGUCCUUCAACGCCACAUUCACCAUGAGCGCCAACACAUCACGCCACGGCGACGGCGGCCUUAUGUUCGGGAUACUGCCUCCCGUAUUGGAUGGCUUCCACAGAGCCACCUACACAUCCUUGGCCAGCUCUGGGACCACGUUCCCCGACGGCCGCCGCGUCGCCAUCGAGGUCAGUCAAGCAGAGUACUACUAUUCUCAAGGUACCACCAGCAUGUACGUUUCCAUCGAGCCGGAGCCGAACGCGACGUCCAUGGCGAUCUACACCGUCUGGAUCGAUUACAGCGCCGCCGCUCACAACCUGUCGGUGUAUGUGGCCGAGGGCGGCAAGCCCAAACCCGGGGAACCCACGCUCCACACGCCGCUCAACGUCACCGACGUCGUUAGGUCGCCGGCAGGCUGUUCCGGCUACUUCGGUUUGUUCGCCUCAAAGAGCAGGUUCUUGCCCACAUGCCAGGCGGUGGUCUAUAGCUGGAACAUCACCAUGGAGAAGCUCCCGGAACCCAUCCCUGAACCCAGUCCCGACCGUGCAUACAGCCGCGCCUUCCCCGACCAUGGGCGUGAACUGCGGAGAGAAUUCUUCGCCAUACUGCUGACGGUGGUGCUUCCUAUAGCCGUUGUCACGGCGAUCGUUUUCGUGGCGGCCUGCUACUUCUCGUCGAGGUACAGGGCUCUCAGGAUGAGGCUCAAGCUCUCGGAGGCGCUGAGACAGCUCCCCGGGGUGCCGAGGGAGUUCAAGCACGCCACCGUCAGGAAGGCGACCCACAACUUCCAUGAGAUGAUGAAGUUGGGGAGAGGCGGCUUCGGCGCCGUGUACAAGGGAACGCUCCGGUCAGGGAAGCGCGGCGAAGGGCGCCUUGACGUAGCCGUGAAGAAGUUCACACGGAAAGACGACUGUGGCUACGAGGACUUCCUCGCCGAGGUCGACAUCAUCCACCGCCUCCGCCACAAGAACAUUGUCCCUCUUCUUGGUUGGUCUUACGAGAAUGGAGAGCUGCUACUGAUCUACGAGUACAUGCCCAAUGGCAGCGUAGACAAGCACCUGUUCCACGAAAGGCAGCAGCACCGUGGCCACCAACAGCCAGUUCUGCCCUGGGAGAGACGCUACGACAUUGUGAAGGACGUCGCCGCCGGUUUGCACUACGUCCACCACGAGUACGAGCGCACGGUGCUCCACCGCGACAUCAAGGCCAGCAACAUCAUGCUCGACUCCGCCUUCCGCGGCCGCCUCGGCGACUUCGGCCUCGCGCGAGUCGUCGGCUUCGACAAGAACUCCUUCACCGACGUCGGCGUCGCGGGCACCUGGGGCUUCAUCGCGCCGGAGUACCCCGUCAGCCACAAGGCCACCCGGCAGACCGACGUCUACGCGUUCGGGGUGCUGGUCCUCGAGGUCGUCACCGGCAGGAGGUCGCUCGGCAAAGCGGACGACGAGUUCCCGCUGCUCGUCGACUGGGCCUGGUGGCUCCAUCAGGAGGGGAGGCUGCUCGAAGCGGUCGACGCCGAGCUCCGCGGGUCGGAGGCGGGGUUCGAUGCCGACGAUGCCGCCCGGCUGCUGCUCCUCGGUCUGUCCUGCAGCAACCCGAACCCAUCGGACCGGCCGACCCUGGCCAACGUGUUGCAGGUUGUCGCCAAGACGGCACCGCUGCCGGACGUGCCGCUGGUGAAGCCCGCGUUUGUGUGGCCGCCGGAGGGGGCGUUACUGGACGACGACGUGGAUGAUGGUUUUGCGGGGACGAGCUGUGAUGAUUCUCGUUACUGGGAGGAGGAGGAGACCAUGCCGAGCUUCAUGUCGUCGGAGACCACCAAGCGCAGGGCUCGGAAUGUUGAUCAGCACAAGGACGCGGGGGAGAUAGAGAGUUACGUGUAA